rnacentral:rRNA from 1 species
CGUGAGGAACCUGCCUCAAAGAGGGGGACAACAGUUGGAAACGACUGCUAAUACCGCAUAAGCCCACAGCUCGGCAUCGAGCAGAGGGAAAAGGAGCAAUCCGCUUUGAGAUGGCCUCGCGUCCGAUUAGCUAGUUGGUGAGGUAAUGGCCCACCAAGGCGACGAUCGGUAGCCGGACUGAGAGGUUGAACGGCCACAUUGGGACUGAGACACGGCCCAGACUCCUACGGGAGGCAGCAGUGGGGAAUAUUGCACAAUGGGGGAAACCCUGAUGCAGCGACGCCGCGUGGAGGAAGAAGGUCUUCGGAUUGUAAACUCCUGUUGUUGAGGAAGAUAA